UACGUAGGGUGCGAGCGUUAAUCGGAAUUACUGGGCGUAAAGUGUGCGCAGGCGGCCGCGCAAGUCGAGUGUGAAAGCCCCGAGCUUAACUUGGGAAUUGCGCUCGAAACUACGUGGCUGGAGUGUGGCAGAGGAAGGUGGAAUUCCAGGUGUAGCGGUGAAAUGCGUAGAUAUCUGGAGGAAUACCGGUGGCGAAGGCGGCAUCCUGGACCGGUAUUGACGCUGAUGCGCGAAAGCCAGGGGAGCAAACGGG
rnacentral:rRNA from 1 species